AUGAAUUCCCUGAAAUCCAUUGCGGGAGUUUGCAACUCAAACAAAGCGGGCCUAAUUCUUGAGGGGUUCUUCAAAAACUCUCUUUCCAUUUUUUUCUGUCCCCCUAAAUUUUUCCAAGCUAUUGCUAACAGCAGAAGAGCGAAAAACUUCAUUCCAAAAGUUAAACAGGGAAGUGAGAUUGCAACCGAGCAAGAACGAAAAGAGCAAAUUUUUCCAGAGGCCUUUCAGAACCUGCUAGGUACUGCGCGAGCAAGACAACUCACAUUGGAUCUAGGUUACUUGGGCAUGGAGGAACUCGACCUGGCGGAGCUGGAAGUGCCAUUCUCAGAACAAGAAGUGUGGCAAGCCCUCAAAGAGAUGCACCCGGAUCGUGCACCUGGACCGGACGGAUUCACGACAGCUUUCUAUCGGCAUUCCUGGCAGAUCAUCAAAUAUGACAUCACGUCUGCACUAUCCAAGCUCGCGGUGGGUGAUCAUCGCGGAUUCACCAAGCUAAACAGAGCGCUCAUCGUGCUAAUUCCUAAGAAGCCAGACGCCAUCGAAGUAGGAGAUUACAGGCCAAUAAGUUUGCCACACAGCUUUUCCAAGUUGUUUGCGAAGCUGCUGGCCAACAGAGUGCGAAGGCGCAUGCCCGAUCUGGUCAGUGCUAACCAAUCGGCUUUUUAUCAGAGGGAGGAAUCUGCAUGA
rnacentral:rRNA from 1 species